rnacentral:lncRNA from 1 species
GGAAGGAUCUCUACCUGGAGAUCUCUUCUUUGGUCUGUUUGGUAAACCUUUGGGAUGGUUUGUUUCUAUGCUGAAGGACAUUUGAAAUAAAGGCAACCUUCCCCACUAAAUACCAGGUUGUAAAAUCCCAGAGGCACACCUCUCAGGCCAUUCCAGCACCCGCUUUAUCUCCAGUGAUCUCUGACCCCUGCAUGUCAGGAGUUCAAUCUGGUACGUUCCACUCUUUGCCCCCACUUAAUUCUUUUUUAGCUGCUCGGCCUUUGAAACCUGGUGCCAUA